rnacentral:rRNA from 1 species
AGCGUACACGGUGGAUGCCCUGGCAGUCAGAGGCGAUGAAGGACGUGCUAAUCUGCGAAAAGCGCCGGCGAGGUGAUAUGAACCCUUGACCCGGCGAUGUCCGAAUGGGGAAACCCAGUGCAAUCCGUUGCACUAUCGUUAACUGAAUACAUAGGUUAACGAGGCGAACCGGGGGAACUGAAACAUCUAAGUACCCCGAGGAAAAGAAAUCAACCGAGAUUCCCCCAGUAGCGGCGAGCGAACGGGGAGCAGCCCGGAGUCUGAAUCAGCUUGUGUGUUAGUGGAACGGUCUGGAAAGUCCGACGGUACAGGGUGAUAGUCCCGUACACGAAAGCACACAUGCUGUGAACUCGAAGAGUAGGGCGGGACACGUGGUAUCCUGUCUGAAUAUGGGGGGACCAUCCUCCAAGGCUAAAUACUCCUGACUGACCGAUAGUGAACCAGUACCGUGAGGGAAAGGCGAAAAGAACCCCGGCGAGGGGAGUGAAAAAGAACCUGAAACCGUGUACGUACAAGCAGUGGGAGCCUCUUUAUGGGGUGACUGCGUACCUUUUGUAUAAUGGGUCAGCGACUUAUAUUCUGUAGCAAGGUUAACCGUAUAGGGGAGCCGAAGGGAAACCGAGUCUUAACUGGGCGUUAAGUUGCAGGGUAUAGACCCGAAACCCGGUGAUCUAGCCAUGGGCAGGUUGAAGGUUGGGUAACACUAACUGGAGGACCGAACCGACUAAUGUUGAAAAAUUAGCGGAUGACCUGUGGCUGGGGGUGAAAGGCCAAUCAAACCGGGAGAUAGCUGGUUCUCCCCGAAAGCUAUUUAGGUAGCGCCUCGUGAACUCAUCUUCGGGGGUAGAGCACUGUUUCGGCUAGGGGGCCAUCCCGGCUUACCAACCCGAUGCAAACUACGAAUACCGAAGAAUGUUAUCACGGGAGACACACGGCGGGUGCUAACGUCCGUCGUGAAGAGGGAAACAACCCAGACCGCCAGCUAAGGUCCCAAAGUCAUGGUUAAGUGGGAAACGAUGUGGGAAGGCACAGACAGCCAGGAUGUUGGCUUAGAAGCAGCCAUCAUUUAAAGAAAGCGUAAUAGCUCACUGGUCGAGUCGGCCUGCGCGGAAGAUGUAACGGGGCUAAACCAUGCACCGAAGCUGCGGCAGCGACACUUAUGUGUUGUUGGGUAGGGGAGCGUUCUGUAAGCCGUUGAAGGUGUGCUGUGAGGCAUGCUGGAGGUAUCAGAAGUGCGAAUGCUGACAUAAGUAACGAUAAAGCGGGUGAAAAGCCCGCUCGCCGGAAGACCAAGGGUUCCUGUCCAACGUUAAUCGGGGCAGGGUGAGUCGACCCCUAAGGCGAGGCCGAAAGGCGUAGUCGAUGGGAAACAGGUUAAUAUUCCUGUACUUGGUGUUACUGCGAAGGGGGGACGGAGAAGGCUAUGUCAGCCGGGCGACGGUUGUCCCGGUUUAAGCAUGUAGGCGGAGGUUCCAGGUAAAUCCGGUACCUUAUUAACGCUGAGGUGUGAUGACGAGGCACUACGGUGCUGAAGUGAUAAAUGCCCUGCUUCCAGGAAAAGCCUCUAAGCAUCAGGUAACACGAAAUCGUACCCCAAACCGACACAGGUGGUCAGGUAGAGAAUACCAAGGCGCUUGAGAGAACUCGGGUGAAGGAACUAGGCAAAAUGGUGCCGUAACUUCGGGAGAAGGCACGCUGAUAUGUAGGUGAAGCCCCUGCGGGCGGAGCUGAAAUCAGUCGAAGAUACCAGCUGGCUGCAACUGUUUAUUAAAAACACAGCACUGUGCAAACACGAAAGUGGACGUAUACGGUGUGACGCCUGCCCGGUGCCGGAAGGUUAAUUGAUGGGGUUAGCGGCAACGCGAAGCUCUUGAUCGAAGCCCCGGUAAACGGCGGCCGUAACUAUAACGGUCCUAAGGUAGCGAAAUUCCUUGUCGGGUAAGUUCCGACCUGCACGAAUGGCGUAAUGAUGGCCAGGCUGUCUCCACCCGAGACUCAGUGAAAUUGAACUCGCUGUGAAGAUGCAGUGUACCCGCGGCAAGACGGAAAGACCCCGUGAACCUUUACUAUAGCUUGACACUGAACACUGGUCCUUGAUGUGUAGGAUAGGUGGGAGGCUUUGAAGCGUGGACGCCAGUCUGCGUGGAGCCAACCUUGAAAUACCACCCUUUAAUGGCUGGUGUUCUAACGUAGACCCGUAAUCCGGGUUGCGGACAGUGUCUGGUGGGUAGUUUGACUGGGGCGGUCUCCUCCCAAAGAGUAACGGAGGAGCACGAAGGUUGGCUAAUCCUGGUCGGACAUCAGGAGGUUAGUGCAAUGGCAUAAGCCAGCUUGACUGCGAGCGUGACGGCGCGAGCAGGUGCGAAAGCAGGUCAUAGUGAUCCGGUGGUUCUGAAUGGAAGGGCCAUCGCUCAACGGAUAAAAGGUACUCCGGGGAUAACAGGCUGAUACCGCCCAAGAGUUCAUAUCGACGGCGGUGUUUGGCACCUCGAUGUCGGCUCAUCACAUCCUGGGGCUGAAGUAGGUCCCAAGGGUAUGGCUGUUCGCCAUUUAAAGUGGUACGCGAGCUGGGUUUAGAACGUCGUGAGACAGUUCGGUCCCUAUCUGCCGUGGGCGCUGGAGAAUUGAGGGGGGCUGCUCCUAGUACGAGAGGACCGGAGUGGACGCAUCACUGGUGUUCGGGUUGUCAUGCCAAUGGCACUGCCCGGUAGCUAAAUGCGGAAGAGAUAAGUGCUGAAAGCAUCUAAGCACGAAACUUGCCCCGAGAUGAGUUCU